UUCUUUUCUUAUUGUCGAAAUUAUCUCAAUUGUGCUCCACUUCCAUUAGAGUACUCUCUUAUUCGUGUUCUGAAAUUCUCCAAUUCACUAGAGUAUGACUUAUAUUGAAGCGGAUUUAAAUGUCAUGGCCUUUACAUUUCCUACUCGCUCUAUUUUUAUUCAAACCCUAGUUUCACAACUCUAACACACUUUGGACACAC
rnacentral:lncRNA from 1 species